UACGAGUGCCCCAAGCGUUAUCCGGAAUCAUUGGGCGUAAAGAGCGUGUAGGCGGCCAGGUAGGUCCGAUGUGAAAACUGGAGGCUCAACCUCCAGCUGUCAUUGGAAACCCUCUGGCUAGAGUCCGGAAGAGGAGAGUGGAAUUCCUGGUGUAGCGGUGAAAUGCGCAGAUAUCAGGAAGAACACCUAUGGCGAAGGCAGCUCUCUGGGACGGUACUGACGCUGAGACGCGAAAGCGUGGGGAGCGAACAGG
rnacentral:rRNA from 1 species